rnacentral:ncRNA from 1 species
UAGUAAUACGGCUCAGUACGAGAGGAACCGCCGUUUAAGAUAAUUGGUAAAUGCCCUUGCCUGAAAAGGCAAUGGGGCGAAGCUAACAUCUGUAGUCUAAUGACUGAACGCCUCUAAGUCAGAAGACAUGCUAG